AUGCAGUGUACCCGCGGCUAGACGGAAAGACCCCGUGAACCUUUACUACAGCUUGGCACUGAACAUUGACCCUACAUGUGUAGGAUAGGUGGGAGGCUUUGAAGCACGUACGCCAGUAUGUGUGGAGCCGUCCUUGAAAUACCACCCUUGUAGUGUUGAUGUUCUAACGUCGACCCCUUAUCGGGGUUGCGGACAGUGCCUGGUGGGUAGUUUGACUGGGGCGGUCUCCUCCCAAAGAGUAACGGAGGAGCACGA
rnacentral:rRNA from 1 species